rnacentral:rRNA from 1 species
UACAGAGGUGGCAAGCGUUGUUCGGAAUUACUGGGCGUAAAGGGCGCGUAGGCGGCCCUUCAAGUCCCGCGUGAAAUCCCUCGGCUCAACCGAGGAACUGCGCGGGAAACUGUAGGGCUUGAGUUUGGGAGAGGGAAGCGGAAUUCCGGGUGUAGCGGUGAAAUGCGUAGAUAUCCGGAGGAACACCGGUGGCGAAGGCGGCUUCCUGGACCAAUACUGACGCUGAGGCGCGAAAGCUAGGGGAGCAAACGGG